CCGGAAUUUUUCAGACAGGGACAAAAGUAAUAGACUCAAUAAAAGAUUUUGCCACUCCCCUCUUCAAAGGAUUCAAUGACCUAAACGAAGCUUUGGAUUACGCAAGGGGAACUCUUUGACCAAAUUAUUUUCUAAGUCCAGCGUUAAGUCAAAUCACAAAUCCUUUCCCACAAUAUAAUAUCCAGAAAGACACAGACAAAAUAAUAUUUUGCGACCACUG
rnacentral:lncRNA from 1 species